CACGUAGGCACCAAGCGUUGUCCGGAUUUAUUGGGCGUAAAGAGCUCGUAGGCGGUUCGGUAAGUCGGGUGUGAAAACUCUGGGCUCAACCCAGAGCCGCCACCCGAUACUGCUGUGACUCGAGUGCGGUAGGGGAGCGGGGAAUUCCUGGUGUAGCGGUGAAAUGCGCAGAUAUCAGGAAGAACACCCGUGGCGAAGGCGGCUCUCUGGUACGGAACUGACGCUGAGACGCGAAAGCGUGGGGAGCGAACAGG
rnacentral:rRNA from 1 species